AAGUCACUCUCCCACAUCAUAAUUGGCAAAUUAUACCUUUGCUGUGUCUGAUGGAAAUACCAUGCUUUGGGAUGAUCUAUGAAGGUUGAGUUCUGCCAUGCUGAUGGAGUGUUUACCUUCCUUUGGGAACUUGGCAUCCCAGUGGGACCCAGACACAGGACCUACUGCUCUCCAGCCAUGGACCCAUGAUGGGAGAGAGGCUCCUCCUUGCGCAGCACAGGGCAAAGAAGUGUGGACAUAGCACAGCCUUUUUUAAAAUCUGCAACUUAAUGGGACUUGUACAGAAGUGAACACAUUCACAGUGAAAUGCAGUCUGGGAAGACAGAUAAUACAUACUCAAUUGCUACUCAUCAUUUUACUGAUGGAUAGUCUAGAAGAGACAAAUCUCGGCAAUUGCUCCAGACAGUGCAGUUAGAGGUGACCAACUCUGAACAGUCUUCCAGUGUGCACAAUUUGCCGAGCAAACAUGAGGCAUGCUAACAGGACAGCAAAAUCCCAUCUCUGUCAAUGCUGAGACUCCUGAAUGUCUCAGGCAGCCCCUGCUGGAGGUCCAGAGCUAGCAAAUUCUCUUUGUGUAUUACCAGAAGACUGUCAAACACCUGAAGCAGGAUGAACUGGAGAUCUUAUUAAGGAGGUGAACCAUGGAGGGCUUGCUGAUAAAGUCUCAGACUGACUCUCCUCUGGCUUUAUUUUUGGUUUGUUUUGAUAUAUUGGUCUGAAUUAUUCUGUGUUAUCUCACAUUUCUUUUAAUAAAUUAGUUUCUCCUGUCUCAGUUGGGUUUUUUCCCUCUUCCUUCCACCCCCCUCCCUUUCUCCCAAGGGAAGGGGGAUGUGUCAUGUGAUUAACUCUUCAAAUCAUGACAGCCUCCCUGCCAACUGCAGGGCUCAGCACAAUUUCAAUUUGCUGUGUUGUAAUGCCACUGCCCCAGCAGCUGUCAGAAGCAUCUCAGCUUUCCAGAUAUCAAGCAGAGAGAUGUCUGGCAGCAGAAAGCUGAGCAUCUUCACCAGCCUUCUGUCCUUGUGCCCUUUACAGAAACUGCUUCAUGCUCUGAAAAAUAGGAACAGGUUAAAGCAUUCCUUAGGAGAAUGGGGCAGGUUUUGAUCAGCAUGCUGGUUAAAAAAAAUGCAUGUUUUGGGGGGGUUUAUUGUGCAGCUGUUAAUGUUUCUGUCAGAAUUAUCAAUAUUUGCUUAGACUAGGAAUGGAAAACCGUAAGACAAAAGUCAGUUAUCAAUGCUACAAAUCAAGGAAAGGCAAUUACAGUGACCUUCCAGAAAAUAACAAUCUAAAGAAAACAAGGUAGUUCUAACUUUGUAUAUGAUGUGGGAAGUAAAUCAGAGGAUAUUAGGCAACACUGUCUAAAAAUAUAUUCUCAGGUUCUAGUGGCUGAUAUUUGAUAAUGGCAAAAAAAAUCCCCUACCACCAAGCACCUAGCCUCCUAAAAAUUACAUUGAAGUUGGUAAUAAAUUGCAAAUGCUUUGCUUAGUAUUGAAGACGUGAACUGUUUUGUACUGCCUCAUUUACUAAUCAUGCCAUCUACAAUGCCAAAUUAUAUGUAAGUUUUUGUUUGUUUUUGAUUAGACUUGGAAAAUAGACGAGCAUUCAGAAAGAAAUCCUGAAAUAAAAGAUUUAUCAUUUCUGUUUCA